CCGUAUACCACAGGUGCAGCCCUUAAAAAAACAAGCAAAAAACAAAAAUGAAAGUACUGGGUUUUUGUUAAUGAGAAGUAAUGAACGAAAAUGAUUGCACAUUUACCUAUGGAAUAUUGAAUAGCAGAUAUUAAUAUUUGGGUUAGUAAAAUCCUUAUUAGUAAAAUGAAGAAAGUUUAGUAGGUAUCCUUUGUUGUAGCUUUGCAGAAAAUCAGAUUCUUUAGUGUGUUUGAAAUUUAUUCAUAGAAUGUAUGAUAAACUCUGAUGAUGCUACAACUUCUCAGGACAUCUGUCUCAACUAUAGUUUUUGAUUGAACUAUGUUGAUUUUUAAAAUUUUAGAUAAUGGAAGUAUCUUUCAGGGUGAAAUGCUUUGUCCUAAUUUUAUGAAAUAUAUUUUACAAUAAUAAAGCCAAACCAGUUUUAGUCAAGCCUUAAAAUCUGAUUUUGUCACCUUUUUGCAACAUAUAGUUUGAAGGAUGUUCUUCAGGGCACUUUCAAAGAAGCAGAACAUUGCAUAGAGUUAAACAGGCGAGGAAGACCGCUCAAAACUGUUGCAAUGGGGUCAGAAACGCGAGAGAGGGAGAGAGAGAGAGAUUGAACUUAACUCCUUUGAAACAAAAAAGGCAGAGAAGUUUGUAAGGGUGAGAUAAACUAAGGGAACAAUCCAGGAGGACAUUAGAGGAGAUUGGUCAAAAAGAUUAGGCCAUCUUGCUAAUUAGUGUUUAUAGGUUCCUGCUCUCCCACAGAGACUGGCAGUUAGGAAGGCCUUUCUCUAUGAGUUCAUUUCUAAGGGAUAGCCCCACGUUCUUGUGACAGACAUCCUUGGGUCGUAAAACUGGCAAGAGGCUGGGAGAAGACUGCGUCUCCAAGGCGAAGAGGAAGAAUUUACAAUGACAAGUUUUUAGAGCAAAUGCUCCAGGAGGCCAGGGACCGCUAGUGAGGAAGAAACCUGUCUGGACUUUGACAAGCCCAAGGGGACAGCAUCACAGCAAAACUCUGUAAACUCUGUGGGCUUCGGAAGGUAGUUGGAAGGACCCUACGGCAGGUGCUGAAGAGUACCGGGUAAUUUUUCUAGGAGGCUUUGAGCAGAUGUUCAUCCCUGGUGUGACUUCGAUGGGUUCUCACGUGAACCAAAGGGAGGACACGCCGAAUGCAAACUCAGGAUUCAGUAAUUCUGUAUCAAUACUGCUUUUCGUUUUAGCCGGGGCGCAGUGGUGAACAGGUAGACCUAGUUCCUACCCUAAUGAAGAGCGCCGCCCAGUGAUGGAGAAAGGCAAGCUUAAACUUCUUCCAGUUCCUAUUUCCUGUUUUCUAUUUCCAGUAGAAGUCAUUGUCUUAAAAAAUAAAGUUAAAUGAUUCCAAGAGCAAUUCUUCUGUCAGACUUUGAAGGAAAGGUGGUGGUUAUCAAGGAGAACCUGUCCGAUUGAAGGUUUAAUCCCUAAUUCUGGUUUUCUAGCAGAAGCUAUUCACACCAGAUCCUGAAGAUAACUAAAAGAACACCAGCUAAGUGUUUCUUUGAAUAGGUGAGGGAAGAAUCGGAUUCUUUUACCAUCUUAAUACUUUGUUGAUCAGAGAACCAGGGAAAGGAAGCUAUGAGUCAGUAAUAGCACAAUCAGUAAGAGAAAGGGUACCGGCUAGUUACAACAUUAAAUCGUCAGGCCAGAGAGGAGGUUUCUCUCUCAGUGCUGCUCUCCAAUAGCAGCGAGUGCUCGAGCAGCAGGUCUUGGAUAUCACAGCGUUAUAUGAUUGACACUGUUGUUAUUUAUCAUUCUAAUACCUUCUUGGUUUUUCAUCAUUCUCAGGGCUUCUUUUUCUGAGGAGCUUCAAGGCAUCUACAGUCUCUUUGUUCCAUACUCGUUCGCCAGAGCUCAAAAAAUAAAGAGGAGCAGUGCUUUAGCAUAGCACCAGUAACUACUUUAUUAUAGUCUAAGUGACUUCCGUUCUAUGUUUACAUUUAAUAGCAGCAGCUUAGGGUAGCAGCAAAGUUCUGUUUUCCCAGAGAUUGUUACUUGUUCCUAAAAUUGCUGGAAGAUCUUAUAUUUUGUGUGGAUCUUGAGGCUUUCUUCACAUAACCCUUGGACUUGACUAUAUUUUAAUUAGAGCUUGG